GGUCGAAAGACAGCGUACGAGGAAAGUCCGGGCUCCACAAGAGCAAUGAUGCUGGAUAACGUCCAGUGAGGGAGACCUUAAGGAAAGUGCAACAGAAAAUAACCGCCUAAAGUUAUUCUUUAGGUAAGGAUGAAAAGGCGAGGUAAGAGCUCACCGCUGGUAUGGUGACAUACCGGGCAGUGUAAACCCCAUCUGGAGCAACACCUAAACUAGAAGGCUAAGACUGCUCGUCAUCUUCUUAAUUUGGUGGCUUGAGACAUAUAGUAAUAUAUGUACUAGAUAAAUGACUAUUCACGACAGAACCCGGCUUACAGAUUUACUUA
rnacentral:RNase_P_RNA from 1 species